UACGUAGGGGGCGAGCGUUGUCCGGAAUGAUUGGGCGUAAAGGGCGCGUAGGCGGCCCGUUAAGUCUGGAGUGAAAGUCCUGCUUUCAAGGUGGGAAUUGCUUUGGAUACUGAUGGGCUGGAGUGCAGGAGAGGAAAGCGGAAUUACCGGUGUAGCGGUGAAAUGCGUAGAGAUCGGUAGGAACACCAGUGGCGAAGGCGGCUUUCUGGACUGAAACUGACGCUGAGGCGCGAAAGCGUGGGGAGCAAACAGG
rnacentral:rRNA from 1 species